GACGAACGCUGGCGGCGUGCUUAACACAUGCAAGUCGAACGGAAAGGCCCUGCUUUUGUGGGGUGCUCGAGUGGCGAAAGGGUGAGUAACACGUGAGUAACCUGCCCUUGACUUUGGGAUAACUUCAGGAAACUUGGGCUAAUACCGGAUAGGAGCUCCUGCUGCAUGGUGGGGGUUGGAAAGUUUCGGCGGUUGGGGAUGGACUCGCGGCUUAUCAGCUUGUUGGUGGGGUAGUGGCUUACCAAGGCUUUGACGGGUAGCCGGCCUGAGAGGGUGACCGGCCACAUUGGGACUGAGAUACGGCCCAGACUCCUACGGGAGGCAGCAGUGGGGAAUAUUGCACAAUGGGCGGAAGCCUGAUGCAGCAACGCCGCGUGCGGGAUGACGGCCUUCGGGUUGUAAACCGCUUUCGCCUGUGACGAAGCGUGAGUGACGGUAAUGGGUAAAGAAGCACCGGCUAACUACGUG
rnacentral:rRNA from 1 species